AAAUCAGUCGUCGAGGAAAAACUGCAGCAAUAUGACUGAUCGCCAUCCAUGAUUCUUGGUAUUUAAGUUUCCGAUGAUG
rnacentral:snoRNA from 1 species